AGAGCCUCAGUCUCCCGUGAGCAGAGGGUGUGUGUGUGGCUGCCACUAUUCUGCAGACACGCUGGCUCCACCCCAGAGAGUUGCAGGGCCAGGAAAUCUGCAUUUAAACAGACCCUGGCUCUCACACUUCGGAAACUGCCCGAAGCACCUCUCAAAUAUGGGACAGGUGCUUAGGCCGAAAAUCAGGAAUCUCUUGAAUGAAUGCAUGAAGGUGGAGCCCUUUCCCUUAAUGCGCAGGUGAAAAGGGCACCUCGGUGGAUUCUACUAAAUUUAAUAGAAGGUGUCUACUCCUGCAGGCUUACCUGUAACCUUUGUCACUCACUCUUCUGAUUCUGCAAACAUAUAAACCACGGAGCCACAGCCAAGAGAAUCUGGACUUGUUCGUUUUUCCUGAAAUAGGAUAUCUUAAAUAAUCCGUGGCUCAGCACUGCGCCCUUUUUUUUCUUUUCUUUUCUUUUUUUUUUUUUUUUUGAGACGGAGUCUCGCUCUGUUGCCCAGGCUGGAGUGCAAUGUCAUGAUCUUGGCUCACUGCAACCUCUGCCUCCUGGGUUCAAGCAACUCUCCUGCCUCAGCCUCCUGAGGAGCUGGGACUGCAGGUGCAAGACACCACGCCUGGCUAAUUUUUGUUAUUUUUAGUAGAGACAGUGUUUCACUAUGUUGGCCAGGCUGGUCUCGAACUCCUGACCUCAAAUGAUCUGCCUGCCUCGGCCUCCCAAAGUGCUGGGAUUACAGGCACAAGCCACAGCACCCAGCCUCACUGUGCCCUUUUCACUGGCAGGCAUUUUAUUGUCCCUACAGACCCAAGACGGGGUGGGGGAGACGUGCUUUGUGCUCACCUGGCUGGUUCAUGGGCAGGUGGCCUGGAGGACCCAGCCCUGGCAGCUGUGGGGUAGCUCCAGCCUGGGCCGGACAGCUUCUUUCAUCGCAGGCACCACUGCGGACAUUGCUGGGAGGAAGAGGAGGGAGAAGCGACGGGCUUCAUUAGGAACGGAAAUGCCAAGAUUAGUGAAAGAAUGAAAAGAGUCAAAACAGCCUAGAAAAGGCUUCAAUGAUCCUCAAACUGGAUGAUCGAAUCCCGAAUAAUUGGGAAUCAACAGUAAAGGCCAAAGUUACCUCUGGAAGUGCAGGGCUUUGUCUUUUUGGAUUAACUCAGAAAUUAGACCUUCAGAAAACAACAUCAGCUCUGAUUCUCUGCACCCUUGAUGCUGCCGGUGGCGACUGCGGCUUCCUGAUGGAAAUGUAGACCUGAACAUAAGUCGCAGAAAAAUGCAGACUUGAGUUGGAGCUAAGCUGACUCAGGUAUUUUGAGAUCUAUAAUCUGAGUGGGGAGCAGAGAGAUUCCAAGAUAUUUGCAUUCAGUGGCUUUUGCACACAGCAGAACCUGUGCUGAGGGCAUUUCUAGGGUCAUUACUCAUAAUCUGCAGUGUCUCUUUCCAGGGUUCCAGGCGUCUUACCCCAGAGGUGAUUUCCAGAUUUCGAGAAAAACCCAGGAUUUAGGGCUGGCACGGUGGCUCACGCCUGUAAUCCCAGCAUUUUGGGAGGCCGAGGCAGGUGGAUCACUUGAGGUCAGGAGUUUGAGACCAGCCUGGCCAACAUGAUGAAACCCUGUCUCUACUAAAAAUACAAAAAAAUUAGCCGGGUGUGGUGGCAUGCACCUGUAAUCCCAGCUACUCAGGAGGCUGAGGCAGGAGAAUCACUUGAACCUGGGAGGCAGAGGUUGCAGUGAGCCUAGAUCGUGCCAUUGCACUCCAGCCUGGGCAACAAGAGCAAAACUCCAUCUCAAAAAAACAAACAAACAAACAAACAAAACGCAAGAUUUAGAUCCCCUCACUGUAGCGCCCUCAUGGCCUGGUAACUUUAGCAAAGCCUCCCCCUCCUCCCCCUCCUCCUCCUCCUCCUCCUCCUCCCUCCUCCCUCUUCUAGGUACAGAGGAUGAGCAGUGGCUCCCCACACCAUCCCCUGAAGCAGAGGCCCCUCUUCCCUUCAUUCCCCAUUCUGUACAGAUGCUAUGGGAGCUUCAGGCUCCACACUCAGGUCCCCAGUCCCUGAAACAUAAAGCUGAAUAAGACAGAGUCCCUGGGCUGAAGGGGCCACUGUUGGCCAUGGAAGCAGAGUAAACAGAGUGGGGCCGACGUAAAGGUGAGCUGGGGUGCACUGGAGGCACAAAACGGGCAAGGAUGGAGACGUGGGUGACGAGGUAGGGCAGACAGGCAGAGCUCAGACUGGGUCCUAGGCAGGGAGAAGUCACCAUUGUAGAGCAAGGACGAUGUGGUCAGAUCUGGGCUUUAGAAAUCUAGGUGUCUAGCCUAGGCAAUAUAAUGAGACCUCGUCUCCACAAAAAACUUAAAAAAUUAGCCGAGUGUGAUGCCACAUGUCUGUAGCCGCAGCUACUCAGAAAGCUGAGGAUCCCAAGUGGAAGGAUAACUCUAGCUCGGGAGGUCGAGGCUGCAGUGAGCCAUGAUCGUGCCAUUGCACUCCAGCCUGGGCAACAGAGCGAGACCCUGUCUCAAGAAAAAAAAAAAAAAAGUAAAAGAAAAAGAAAGAAGAAAUACAGCUCUGGAGCUGCCUAGGACAGGGUUGGGGACUCUCCUGACUAGCUGCCAGCGAAUGUUUGCUUUCUGUGGCCAGGCCCUGCCUGGCCAGGGUGCACAGGGCUGAGCGAGGCAGAUGGAGCCCCUGCUCUCAGACUGCUUUUCCGAAUGCCAUCUUGACGCUGCUCAAGUUUGGAUUUUGGUUUUCAUGGAAGUCAACUAUGGUUCUGACAUGGCCACCUCUGUCUCAACUGAUGCACGGCCUAGGGAAUCCGGUGAUGCUUCAGCAGGUGGCAGGGCUCAGCUGCACCCGCCCGGGCCCCAGCGCCGCCUGCCACUCCUCCUCCUCCUCCCAGGCUUCGGCUGAGAGCAGGGCCUGGAGCCAGCCUGCUGGGUGGACUCCCAGCUCCACAGUUGGCUAGCUCUGGGGCCCUGGGGAGAUGUCCACCCUCUCUGUGCUUUAAUUUCUUCACCUGUGAGGUGGGGAUGGUAGCACCUCCCUCAUGGGGUGGCUAUGGCUGUGAAAUGAGGUAACGUCUCGGUGUUAGGCAGCUUCCAAAACGGCUCUCCAAGAUCCCCUGCCUCCUGGCCUUCAUAGCCUUGUGGAACCCCUGGCCCUGUGUGUGGGCUGGACUCACUGCCUGCUUCCACCCAAGAGAACAGGGCACAGCUGAUGGGGGUUACUUCUGAGACUAGGUGAUCAAGACUGGGGCUUGCUGGGUCCCUCUGUCUCUGACUCUUUCCUCUGCUCUCUCCUGCUCACUUGCUCACCCUAAUACUAUAUCAAG
rnacentral:lncRNA from 1 species